ACUCCUACGGGAGGCAGCAGUGGGGAAUAUUGCGCAAUGGGCGGAAGCCUGACGCAGCGACGCCGCGUGGGGAUGACGGCCUUCGGGUUGUAAACCUCUUUCGCCAGGGACGAAGCUUUUGUGACGGUACCUGGAGAAGAAGCACCGGCCAACUACGUGCCAGCAGCCGCGGUAACACGUAGGGUGCGAGCGUUGUCCGGAAUUAUUGGGCGUAAAGAGCUCGUAGGCGGUGUGUCGCGUCGGCCGUGAAAACUUGGGGCUUAACUCUGAGCGUGCGGUCGAUACGGGCAUCACUUGAGUUCGGCAGGGGAGACUGGAAUUCCUGGUGUAGCGGUGAAAUGCGCAGAUAUCAGGAGGAACACCGGUGGCGAAGGCGGGUCUCUGGGCCGAUACUGACGCUGAGGAGCGAAAGCAUGGGGAGCGAACAGGAUUAGAUACCCUGGUAGC
rnacentral:rRNA from 1 species